rnacentral:rRNA from 1 species
CGCUGACACUCCUACGGGAGGCAGCAGUGGGGAAUAUUGCACAAUGGGGGAAACCCUGAUGCAGCCAUGCCGCGUGUGUGAAGAAGGCCUUCGGGUUGUAAAGCACUUUCAGUAGGGAGGAAGGUAGUGUAGUUAACACCUGCAUUAUUUGACGUUACCUACAGAAGAAGCACCGGCUAACUCCGUGCCAGCAGCCGCGGUAAUACGGAGGGUGCGAGCGUUAAUCGGAAUUACUGGGCGUAAAGCGCAUGCAGGCGGCCUGUUAAGUCAGAUGUGAAAGCCCGGGGCUUAACCUCGGAAUUGCAUUUGAAACUGGCAGGCUAGAGUCUUGUAGAGGGGGUAGAAUUUCAGGUGUAGCGGUGAAAUGCGUAGAGAUCUGAAGGAAUACCAGUGGCGAAGGCGGCCCCCUGGACAAAGACUGACGCUCAGAUGCGAAAGCGUGGGGAGCAAACAGGAUUAGAUACCCUGGUAG